AGUCGAACGAUGACGGAGGAGCUUGCUCCUCCUGAUUAGUGGCGAACGGGUGAGUAAUACGUGAGCAAUGUGCCCUUGACUCUGGGAUAAGCGCUGGAAACGGCGUCUAAUACCGGAUACGACGAUCGGAGGCAUCUCCUGGUCGUGGAAAGAACUUCGGUCAAGGAUCAGCUCACGGCCUAUCAGUUAGUUGGUGAGGUAAUGGCUCACCAAGACGACGACGGGUAGCCGGCCUGAGAGGGUGACCGGCCACACUGGGACUGAGACACGGCCCAGACUCCUACGGGAGGCAGCAGUGGGGAAUAUUGCACAAUGGGCGCAAGCCUGAUGCAGCAACGCCGCGUGAGGGACGAAGGCCUUCGGGUUGUAAACCUCUUUUAGCAGGGAAGAAGCGAAAGUGACGGUACCUGCAGAAAAAGCACCGGCUAACUACGUGCCAGCAGCCGCGGUAAUACGUAGGGUGCAAGCGUUGUCCGGAAUUAUUGGGCGUAAAGAGCUCGUAGGCGGUUUGUCACGUCUGCUGUGAAAACCCGAGGCUCAACCUCGGGCUUGCAGUGGGUACGGGCAGACUAGAGUGCGGUAGGGGAGAUUGGAAUUCCUGGUGUAGCGGUGGAAUGCGCAGAUAUCAGGAGGAACACCGAUGGCGAAAGCAGAUCUCUGGGCCGUAACUGA
rnacentral:rRNA from 1 species